UACGUACCGUCCAAACGUUAUUCGGAAUUACUGGGCUUAAAGGGUACGUAGGCGGCGCUGUCAGUCGGGUGUGAAAUCCCACGGCUCAACCGUGGAACUGCGCACGAUACUGCAGUGCUUGAGGGAGACAGAGGUAAGCGGAACUGAUGGUGGAGCGGUGAAAUGCGUUGAUAUCAUCAGGAACACCAGUGGCGAAAGCGGCUUACUGGGUCUCUUCUGACGCUGAGGUACGAAAGCUAGGGGAGCGAAGGGG
rnacentral:rRNA from 1 species